rnacentral:rRNA from 1 species
GCGCACCAGGCGAGAAUUUUUGACAAUGGGGGAAACCCUGAUCGAGCGACGCCGCGUGGAGGAUGAAGGUCUUCGGAUUGUAAACUCCUGUCAUUGGGGAACAAGGUGCAUACGUUAACUGCGUGUGUAUUGAUAGUACCCGAAGAGGAAGGGACGGCUAACUCUGUGCCAGCAGCCGCGGUAAUACAGAGGUCCCAAGCGUUGUUCGGAUUCAUUGGGCGUAAAGGGUGCGUAGGCGGCGCGGUAAGUCGGGUGUGAAAUCUCGGAGCUUAACUCCGAAACUGCAUUCGAUACUGCCGUGCUUGAGGACUGGAGAGGAGACUGGAAUUUACGGUGUAGCGGUGAAAUGCGUAGAUAUCGUAAGGAAGACCAGUGGCGAAGGCGGGUCUCUGGACAGUUCCUGACGCUGAGGCACGAAGGCCAGGGGAGCAAACGGGAUUAGAUACCCGUGUAGU